rnacentral:rRNA from 1 species
CGGAGGGAUCAUUACCGAGUUUACAACUCCCAAACCCCUGUGAACAUACCUUAAUGUUGCCUCGGCGGAUCAGCCCGCGCCCCGUAAAACGGGACGGCCCGCCAGAGGACCCAAACUCUAAUGUUUCUUAUUGUAACUUCUGAGUAAAACAAACAAAUAAAUCAAAACUUUCAACAACGGAUCUCUUGGUUCUGGCAUCGAUGAAGAACGCAGCAAAAUGCGAUAAGUAAUGUGAAUUGCAGAAUUCAGUGAAUCAUCGAAUCUUUGAACGCACAUUGCGCCCGCUGGUAUUCCGGCGGGCAUGCCUGUUCGAGCGUCAUUUCAACCCUCAAGCCCCCGGGUUUGGUGUUGGGGGAUCGGCUCUGCCCUUCUGGGCGGUGCCGCCCCCGAAAUACAUUGGCGGUCUCGCUGCAGCCUCCAUUGCGUAGUAGCUAACACCUCGCAACUGGAACGCGGCGCGGCCAUGCCGUAAAACCCCAACUUCUGAAUGUUGACCUCGGAUCAGGUAGGAAUACCCGCUGAACUUAAG